UCCGAUAUGGUGUAGUGGCCAACAUGAUGCCCUCUCAUCUCUUUGAGAGGUUAGGCAUAGCCCCGAGUUCGAUUCUCGGUUUCGGAA
rfam:Colletotrichum higginsianum, IMI 349063, WGS project CACQ02000000 data, contig: cont1.323